AACGAACGCUGGCGGCAGGCUUAACACAUGCAAGUCGAACGGUUGUAGCAAUACAGCAGUGGCAGACGGGUGAGUAACACGUGGGAACCUUCCUAGGGGUACGGAACAACUCAGGGAAACUUGAGCUAAUACCGUAUACGUCCGUGAGGAGAAAGAUUUAUCGCCCUUAGACGGGCCCGCGUCGGAUUAGCUAGUUGGUGGGGUAACGGCCUACCAAGGCGACGAUCCGUAGCUGAUCUUAGAGGAUGAUCAGCCACACUGGGACUGGGACACGGCACAGACGCCUGCGGGAGGCAGCAGUGGGGAAUCUUGGACAAUGGGCGCAAGCCUGAUCCAGCCAUGCCGCGUGAGUGAAGAAGGUCUUCGGAUUGUAAAGCUCUUUUACCAGGGACGAUAAUGACGGUACCUGGAGAAUAAGCCCCGGCAAACUUCGUGCCAGCAGCCGCGGUAAUAC
rnacentral:rRNA from 1 species